rnacentral:rRNA from 1 species
GGAUGAACGCUGGCGGCGUGCUUAACACAUGCAAGUCGAACGGAAAGGSGSSWGCUUGCWKGGGUACUCGAGUGGCGAACGGGUGAGUAACACGUGGGUGAUCUGCCCUGCACUUCGGGAUAAGCCUGGGAAACUGGGUCUAAUACCGGAUAGGACCACAUUUUGGAUGGUGUGGUGGAAAGUUUUUUCGGUGUGGGAUGAGCUCGCGGCCUAUCAGCUUGUUGGUGGGGUAAUGGCCUACCAAGGCGUCGACGGGUAGCCGGCCUGAGAGGGUGUACGGCCACAUUGGGACUGAGAUACGGCCCAGACUCCUACGGGAGGCAGCAGUGGGGAAUAUUGCACAAUGGGCGCAAGCCUGAUGCAGCGACGCCGCGUGGGGGAUGACGGCCUUCGGGUUGUAAACUCCUUUCSCUAGGGACGAAGCGCAAGUGACGGUACCUGGAGAAGAAGCACCGGCUAACUACGU